CUCCCUUGCUCGGGGAGCUGCCCCGCUGUCCCCUGAGCUGCGGCUCCCUCGCACACAGGGGUCCCACUGCCCGCGAGAGGGCGGGCACCCCGGACGUGCUCUCCCCCAACCUGGAAGCCCCGGGCAGGCACUGAAGAGGCCAGAGAUGGGGGGCCCCAAUUCAAUCAAAGUAUCUAGUCCCUUUGGAUUUUCUGCUAAGUAGUCCAGUAACUUCCCAGUUUUCUUUCUACUUGAGGGUCGACAAGAUAUUUCUUCAGCGUCCUCUCUACAAGCAAGAACAUGAAAAACCAUGUGCCACAAAUUCUGACAAAGCACUUCAGGUAAAUUACAUAAGCAGUGAAGACAACUAUUAAGAAACCAAAACCAAAGUCAAACAGACAUGCUUCACUGAAAUGAACAUAAAGUAUCUAAUGAUGGAAGUGAGAGAAACUACUGAAGAAAAUCAAUCCAGUAACUCUCAGAGAUUCAGUAAAACAAAUUUCAACAAGGAGCAGUAACACCAACAUGCAAAACAGAUAUGGCAGCUGUGAAGUGACUGGAAUCCUGAAAGAGAUUAAACAGUGGUUUCCCCCAUGCCCUUGGACCUUCACUGUGCUGCUGGAAUGGAGACACCAACCAUCUAUAAUAGUGGUUCUCAAACUUCUGUGCUGGUGACCCCUUUCACACAGCAAGUCUUUGAGUGCGACCCCCCCCAUUA